rnacentral:lncRNA from 1 species
AAAAUUAAGGAUUGUACUCCAAAAAUCAUUAUAAUGAAGAUAAAGUAUUAUAGGAUUUCAAAAUACAUCGAAACAUCAAAAUUUUGUUAUAAAAAAUAACCUAAUGUUUUAAAAUCAUCAAGAUGUAACGGUUCACGAAAAAUAAUUUUUAGAAAUUCAAACAAAUUGACCUCAAUUUGUCGCAACAUGUUCAAAAUAGAGAUUUAACCAAUAAAUUACCGGGGGUGGCUCUUUGAGUAUCUUUUCAUUCUAUCACCUUAUAACUCCGAAAAUUCUAAAAUAUUCAUUUUUUCAACCUUUUCGGCUUUUCAAUUAAAAUCCAUGUGGUAGCUUCACACACUUACCAGACGACCGGGGUGGUAGCUCUUUCGUACAUGUGGUGGUAGUUUUCACACUCCUUUUAAGAUGUAACUCUUUCCACAUCUUUUAAGCAUAGGAGUAUCUUUUUUUCUCUUUUUUUUAAAAAAAAAUUCAAACUCCCCCUAAAUUAGACAAUCUCACAAUUGAAAGUGAUUUUGACAAAAUUUUAGUCGAUUAGUGAAUAUUCAUCCAUCAUAUUCAACACACACAACCAAGAUGAAUUAAUCACCGAAAGAUCAAAAUUGAUUUCAAAAUUUUGAUGAAUAUAUGUAUUAAGAAUUCAUAUAAUCAAUUAUCGUCAAAAUAAUAAAAAGUGGAGUAAAAUCGAUAAUUAAUAUGAAUUUAAUUCAAGAUGAAUUCCGGUUAAGGCACUUAAAAAAAAAAAUCUCCCAAAAUAAAGAUUUUCAAUCGUCUCCUUUCACAAAGAAAAUUUUUAAAUUUUCAAACACCUUUCCUCAAAUCAAUUUUAAAAAUAAAUUUCACACACACGAAAAUCAUCAUGUAAUGCAAUGAAUAAAAAUAUGCAACAAGCACCAAACAAAGCAUUACUUAAACAAUCAAAACAAACUAAGAUGAAGAACA